rnacentral:misc_RNA from 1 species
AAUUCUCAACCCUCCUAUUUUGUAAUGAAAUAGGUUCUGGGCUUGGAUUAUGGCUGUCUGUCGGCUCGUGACGAGCCGGCUCAGCUGAAAUACACGAGCAACCCAGCUGAAACAGCGACGGCUUGACUCGGCGUAAUAACCUAUUUCGCUGAGGACGUCGCACUGUACGUUUCAAGUAGCGGUGUUUCUAAUGCAUAUUCAACUUAAGC